UACGGGGGGGGGAAGCGUUGUUCGGAAUUACUGGGCGUAAAGGGCUCGUAGGCGGCCAACUAAGUCAUACGUGAAAUCCCUCAGCUUAACCGGGGAACUGCGUGUGAUACUGGAUGGCUUGGAUGUGGGAGAGGGAUGCGGAAUUCCAGGUGUAGCGGUGAAAUGCGUAGAUAUCUGGAGGAACACCGGUGGCGAAGGCGGCAUCCUGGACCAUUAUUGACGCUGAGGAGCGAAAGCCAGGGGAGCAAACGGG
rnacentral:rRNA from 1 species